rnacentral:rRNA from 1 species
CCUACGGGAGGCAGCAGUCGAGAAUCAUUCACAAUGGGGGAAACCCUGAUGGUGCGACGCCGCGUGGGGGAAUGAAGGUCUUCGGAUUGUAAACCCCUGUCAUGUGGGAGCAAAUUAAAAAGAUAGUACCACAAGAGGAAGAGACGGCUAACUCUGUGCCAGCAGCCGCGGUAAUACAGAGGUCUCAAGCGUUGUUCGGAAUCACUGGGCGUAAAGCGUGCGUAGGCUGUUUCGUAAGUCGUGUGUGAAAGGCGCGGGCCCAAACCGCGGACGGGAAAAGUAACUGGGCGACUAGAGUAAAGGAGGGGGAACCGGAAUUCUCGGUGUAGCAGUGAAAUGCGUAGAUAUCGAGAGGAACACUCGUGGCGAAGGCGGGUUCCUGGACAUUAACUGACGCUGAGGCACGAAGGCCAGGGGAGCGAAAGGGAUUAGAUACCCUAGUAGUC